AACCCAUGCUGAGAACAUUUACGCAGGGGAUCCUUAACCUAUCCCAUGUCUCUAAAAGAGACUCCAAUUCUAUUUGCACAAAAGAAAAUAUUUCAUUCCUGAGCUU